rnacentral:lncRNA from 1 species
UCCCUUAUCACUGAGUCUGCAAGGCUCAAGAUUAUUGUCCCCCCGGCCCUUUUGUCUAUCUCAGCAACCUGCUCUGGGGUCUUUGACGAAGAUACCUCCUUUCCUGUUUUUUGGUUACUUGUUGAAUAGCAUACCCAAGACCCUGUGUAACCAGAAAUGCUUCCCUCUUAACCUUCCACAUAUUAAAGUCAUUCUUUCCAUUGAACUUCUCAAGAUCAAUCUUUGAUGGAGCCAUACUUGGAUCUUGAUCUGAAGAACUAGCUCUGAUACCAAUUGUACUGUCAAGAUAGCCGCUAAUGCUAAUCAAGCUAUCAAAACACUGCCUAAGACCCUGUACAAGAUCAAACUAGCUACAUAUGAACAAUUGAACGACCUCGAUGAACUCAAUAGAUGACUUAAGAACUUAAAGCAAGAUUUCAGCCAUUAGGAAACAAGAAAUAAGCAAGAUUAACAAACAAUCACACACAGAAACCAGCACUGUUUACGUGGUUCGGCUGUGCAAUGAGGCAGAACAUACAUCCAAGGGAGAAUCGACUAAAAUGAGUUUAUUUAUUAAUCAAAGUAUUUUACAGAGCUCACACGGAGAAACUAACAAGGAAUAAGAUGAUACUUUUUCUCUCUCUUCAUUCUUUCUAGAAGCUCUUUACAUCUUGCUGAAACUGCCUGAAAGCUCAGCUUAUAUAACGGG